UUGAGAGGGGGCUCCCGAGGGUGAGGGACGGUGUCGAGAGGGAGCUCCCGAGGGUGAGGGACGAGUCUGAGGUGGGCAGAGUCCCAAUGGUCAGAGUCCACUGAUGACGGGUCUGUUACAGGAAGGUGUCAGACUGAGAGCGAUGGACUCUCCGUGUCAGAGGCAGAGGCAACGUCUGGUGAGGAGCCACAGGGGAACAUUGAACAACAGAUGGAAACCAGGCUGAGGUGGGACAGGACAGAGUGGAUGGCAGAGGCUAAUGCAUCAUCAUUGGAUCAAUCCAAUCCGAACCAGAAAGUGAACCGAUCCGGAUAGGAACACAAGCCCCAACGCCGGGCAGGAGAAGCCGACGGACACCACGUGCAAAACCUAUGAGAUGAUCCCAGUGAACGGGCUCCUGUUGGAUGAGGAGUGUGAGGAGAUGGUCAGCAGUGUCCACGUGCUGUACCUUGGGCAGAACAACCUGGGAGACCCCCGGGAGCGAGAGGCCUAGCUCGAUCAGAACCUAUCAAAUACCUGGAAGAGGCCUGAACUGCUACAGCACAGGAGGCUAUGGAUCAACAGCAGGUUUUAGAGAUCAUCCUUACUGGUCAUCUGGGUAACACUGAGUGGCUGGACAGCCUUGCAGCACCUGGUUCCUCACUUUCUGCUGGACCUCAGGUGCAGAUGCUCCUCCAAAAAUAAGCAGAAAAACCCUUUGUAGUGUUUAUGCUGAGAAACACUAUGGACUCUUCUUUCAUCUCCCUCUGUAGGAAGGUGUCAGACUGAGAGCGAUGGACUCUCCGUGUCAGAGGCAGAGGCAACGUCUGGUGAGGAGCCACAGGGGAACAUUGAACAACAGAUGGAAACCAGGCUGAGGUGAGAGAUGGAGCUGAGACUGGGAGGGUGAACAUUUCCUCUGGUCUCACUCCCCACUGAGAUAUCACUGCUGUCCCAUCCCUGCCCCUAUUAUCCUGAAUUAAUCUCUACAACACUGUCCACCAUGACCCUCUGCUCGAGAAUUACCUCCCGAGACCCCUCCACCACUGAGUGUAUGUCCCUCAUGAUUGUCUACACCUCUAUAAGAUGACCACUCAUUCUCCUACACUCCAAUGGGGACAAAACAAAAAGUCCCAACCUGCUCACCCUCUGUCCAUAACUCAGUCCCACGAGUCCUGGCAACAUCCUGGUAAAUCUCCUCUGCACUCCGUCCAGCUUCAUGAUAUUGUUCCUGUCGCAGUGUGACUAAACCUGAGCAUAGUGUUCCAAAUCUGGCCUCACCAACAUCUCGUACAAUGUCAGAACAUAGAAAUAGGAGCAGGAGAGGACUCACAGACACGAGACAAUCUGCAGAUGCUGGAAAUCCAAAGCAACACACACAAAAUGCUGGAGGAACUCAGCAGGUCAGGCAGCAUCUGUGGAAAAGAGUAAACAGUCGACGUUUCAGGCUGAGACCCUUCAUCAGGACAGAAGGGAAAGAAGAGAAGUCCGAUUAAGAAGGUGGGGGGAGUGGAGGAGGAAGUACAAGGUGGUGGGUGAUACGUGAAACCGGGAGAGGGGGAGGAGGUGAAGUAAAGAACGGGGAAGUUUGAUGGAAGAGAUAAAGGGCUGGAGAAGGGGGAUCUGAUCGAGGGCAGAAGACCAUGGGAGAAAGGGAAGGGUAGGAGCACCUGAGGCAGGUGAUGGGAGGGUAAGGAGGUAAGUUGAAAGAGGGAAAAGGGAAUGGGGAAUUGUGAAGGGGAUUGGGGCAAUUACCAGAAGCUCAAGAAAUCGAUGUGUAUGCCAACUGCUUGGCUGCUCCCAGACAGAAUAUAAAGUGUUGCUCCUCCAACCUGAAUGUGGUCUCAUCACGACAGUAGAGGCCAUGGACUGACAUGUCGGAAUGGGAAUGGGAAGCAGAAUUGAAAUGGGUGGUCACUGGGAAAUCCUGCUUUUUCUGGCAGAUGGAUCGUAGGUGCUCGGUGAAGCGGUCUCCCAAUUUUCAUCGGGUCUCUCUGAUAUACAGGAGGCCACACCAGGAGCACCGGAUACAGUAGAUGCCCCAACAGACUCACAGGUGAAGUGUCAGCUCACCUGGAAGGACUGUUUGGGGCCCUGAAUGGUGGUGAGGGAGGAGG